UGGCAGGUGCGCCAUCGGUAGGCGGCCGCCCUGUUAAGGCGUUGUAUGUGGGUUCGAGUCCCACCCUGCCAGCCA
rnacentral:tRNA from 1 species